AACGCACAUUGCGCCCACCAGUAUUCUGGUGGGCAUGCCUGUUCGAGCGUCGUCUCAACCCUCGGAGCCCCCGUGGCACCGGCGUUGGGGAUCGACCGCCGCCCUGGCGGUCGGCCCCGAAAUCGAGUGGCGGCCUCGCCGUAGCCUCCUCUGCGUAGUAGCACACACCUCGCACUGGACGGCCGGCGCGGCCACGCCGUGAAACCCCCAACUUCUCAAGGUUGACCUCGAAUCAGGUAGGACUACCCGCUGAACUUAA
rnacentral:misc_RNA from 1 species